ACGCUCGACACCUACGGGAGACAGCAGUGAGGGAUAUUGGUCAAUGGGGGAAACCCUGAACCAGCAACGCCGCGUGAGGGAUGACGGCCUGGUUGUAACCUCUGUCCUCUGUGAAGAUAAUGACGGUAGCAGAGGAGGAAGCUCCGGCUAACUACGUGCCUGCAGCCGCGGUAAUCUGAGCGGGCUGGCAAGGC
rnacentral:rRNA from 1 species